UUAUGAACCCACGUCCACAUCCUACAAGUCUACAACACAAAAUAUUAUUUCCUCUAUAAAAAAAAAUACAACAAAAACUAUUAGUAUUUCCUCUACCAAAAAAAUAAAAAUAUCUUUUUCAAAAAAAAGUUACACCACCACCUACUAUAGUCUAUACACCACCAAUCCAUUGCUUCAUCCCCCAAUCCAUCUCCCCUCUUCCCACAAACCUCUCUCUCUCUCUCUCUCUCUCUCUCUCUCUCUAGGUGUGUGUGUGUGAAAAACGGUAGGAAUGAAAAGGGAUGUUAAUUAAUUUAUUUAUGAUAAAAAUAAUAGAAGAUGAUCUUUGUUCUGGUUAUGAAAUGAAAUUAUAUGAUACAGUAUAUUAUUUGAAAGUGAAUAUAAUCUGCAGUUACCAAAUAUGUAUACAUAUAUAGAAGAGAAAAAAAUGAAAUUUCGAAGAAUACGCAGCCCACAUCUUCUAGACUUGGUCCCAACGUUGACCAUCACUUUUUUCUUUCUUGGCGUCAGUCACGACUUUUUAGAGGAAUUUUUGUAACAAUAGAGCUAUACUGUCAUAUUAUAAUCGGUUAUAAAGUAAUUAAAUUGAAAAAAAAUAUUUUAUUUAACUUUUUGAUUCAAACUAAAAAAAGAUUUACAUAAUUUUAGUGUUUGCUACACAUUAUAAUUUUUUAUUUUUUUUAUGUAGAAUAUGUAUGAUUCAGAACUGAAAUUUCCGCUUUAUAUGAGAUUCGAAUACAUGAUCGUGAAUUCAUCCAAUAAAACGAUAAAUUUAUUGUAAAUUUUUAUAAUCUAAGAACUGAAAAUAACUCAUUUUUUUCAGUUGGAAUUUAAUGUUCUUGUAAUUGAAAACGUGUUUAAAAUUUAAUUGUAUAUAUAGUACAUCUAGAGGCUGCGUGUUUGAUGAGAAUUUCUUGGAAGGUGUUAUAUAACUCCCAAACGUUUUAUGAGAUGUUCAUGUCCAAAUUUUGGCAGAUUUUUUUGAACUUAUAGUGAUAUAUGUGAUUCUUACAAUAUUAACAUCGAUUUUUAUUUUUAUUUUUAUUUUGAAGCUACAUCAAUUUCUACUUCUAGGAGCGUAAAUUAGGACAUGAUUGGUAUACAAAAAUGAAAUGGUGAUUUAUGCAUCCGUUCCCAAUUGNCUCUCUCUCUCUCUACUACUCACUAACCAGUCACAAGUCCAGCCAAAAUGCUGGAAGAUUCAGCCUCUGCAAUCCCAUCUUCUUCUCUCUGGGCAUCCAUGAACAGCUGGUUAACCCCCACAGUCCUCUUCCUCCUCCUCAAUCUCAUGAUCGCCACC
rnacentral:lncRNA from 1 species